AGAGGCCAAGGCUCCCGGAAGUGCCCAUCCAGCCCCUACAGACCUAACGGCGCCACUGUCCCGAGGCGCCAGCAGCCCUCCCCUCCGUCUUCCUUGCCAAGAGAUGCCCGAUUUUGUUCAGGAAACUGUGGCCCUGUGCCUCAGGGCAAGUGGAGCUUCCUCCACCCGACAAGGACUCUGGGUGAAGUUGAUCAUGGGUCUACAUGGCAGUGGUUGAUUCAGAAGGGUGUCUGCAGAAUGCUGACCAGUAAAAUACGAGUUAAGUCUGCUCUGGGGACUUAAUGUGUGACCAAACAUGGGGCAUGUCACCUUCCCUUCUGCGGCCUUUGGCCAUUGUUGUGAGGGGGUGCAGGCUGGAGCUGUGGCAGGCAUGUCCCCGACCAGGAAGGGCCAGCCCAGAAUGGGGGGACAAAGUGAUAGAUGACCCAGGCCCUGGGGCCACCUCAUCUCGAGGGUUUCUGUAGAAAUCUCCACAUGGAGAGCAGUUGUGUCUGAUCUCCUCUCACUUGCAGCUGAGUCUAGUUGAGAAGCCAAUUAGUAAAUCUGCUCUUCAGCACAGGUCAGAGGGAGCUCGGGGCUGGGCUCCCAAAUCAGCCUGGGUUAGGGAAGGGAAGCCAGAGGUGGUGCUGAGAAUGCUGUGGCAGGCAAGGAGUAGGCAGAAGUGGCGUGGCGUUCUUCAGGCUGAAGCAGAGGACCCAGCCAGUGAUGCCUGCAUGCAAAAUGGACGGAAUACCCACAAGAUAAUGCUAGAGACUUCUGCAGCUGGAAUAGCUUGUGUGCUCAACAGCUCCAGCUUUGUAAGCGCCUGAGGCCUCCAUCAGCUGCUUGGGAUGAGCUUCUAGAUGGCCACGAGAUUUCUCAUCCAUUCAACAGAGAUUUAAUGAGUCCGCACCUUGUGUGCUGGGCUUCAGGGAUACGGGUGAAUGAAGAUGCCAGCCCUUUCCCUCAAGUAGCUCACUGCCUAGUGGUGGGAUGUCAGCACAUGGAAAAGCCCUUCCUAGAGGUUCUCUGCCAUGCUGAGCACAGUCAGGUCGUGUUUCUCAAAGACGGUCACUUCAAUGUAUGUGUCCCAUCCCACCUGCUCUUGCUCAGUGUGACCACUAUCUUCUAAUAAAGGAUAGCCAGCGGUGCUGACGAGGACACAGAGUCCUAGCGUGAAUGUGAACCAGCAGAGAUGGCAGGCGCCGGGAUUCUCACUGAGUCUGGGUCGCCUCCUGUUGCCACCGUGCUUCCUCCUCAAGGACAGCAUAACGCAUUCAAAAUUAAGACGGUCUCAGUCACCUGUAAGUCAUUUUAAGGUCGGAGGCUGAAUCAUCGGCUCGUGAAUGGGAAGUGGGGCACCCCGUUUCUCUCUGACACCCCACUGGGUUCAGGAGACUGGCACAGCGAGAAAGUCACUACCCACAGCACAGGAGCCAUUGGAAUCCUGAUGGAAAGCUGUUAUCCUUGAACUGCUCAUUAAUAAUUCUUCAACACUCCCAUCAGCUUCUAAACUAACAUCUGGAGAACUUCCUUUAUAAAAGGCAAACUUCACAAAAAGAGUUCAGCCUCGUCUACAAACAGCCCCCGCUGUCUGGACCUGGCUGACUUGUCUGUAUGGCUUCGGCUUGUCCUGGAUGCGGCUCACCCUCUGCUGGGAAUUAUUCGGGGAGGUGACACUGUCAAACAGGGGACCACUUGGGAGCUGGAGGAGAGGGCCACAGUCUUCCUCGGGAGGAGCAGUGACUGAAUUACCCGGAGGGCUCCUUCUUUCGAGGACUGGAAGAGGGCGGGUGAGGCGGGUGACAAUGGCUACGUGUCUUCACGGCAGGGGGGCCCGCUGGCAGAGCACCACUAGAGAGGACAGCUUGCAAACCUUUCCCAGAUGGGUCCUCAGAACUGCAAACUUGAGGGUGGCGCACCCUCACCACCUGGGAACAGCAUGUGUCCAGGACUGCCAAGACUCAGAAAGACGAUAUGGGUGAGCGCACGGGAACCGGGAAGAAAUCGACCUGGCAGAGCAAGGCUGGUUAAGGAAAUCGAGUCCACAGUGAAGUUCAUCUCAAUAAACAAUCCCCCACUGGGAGGCUGAACCCGCUUCCCAAACAGAGCUGCUGUUUCCUACUGUUGCGUAAUUACAGAGGUCACCCAGCUGUUGGGAGAGACCACACAUUGUGUUUCCGGUUGUGUAAAUACAAACGAGCCGGCAGCAGCCAGCAGAGCUCCUGAGGGCAAGAAUGGGAGGCUGAGGGAGAGGUGUGCUCCAGGAGAGGACCGGCCGGAGCCCACCCGUCAGUGUGAAACAAGCGAGGCGGUUUCGGUUUCUGUCCUGUCUCUCUCCCCUCACUUGCAGCUUUGGAAAAUUUGGAUCUGUUGUGAAAGGGUAACACUUUUUCCAUGUCUGAUACUGGCAGCGUCAGAUGGGGAGCAGCAGGAUCCUCAACCUUCUUCCAGAAGGUUCAGGAAGCCCACGGGGCUGCACACAUACCAAGCCAUCCUCUGAAACCCUUCUUCCUGGUGGUAUUUCCCCUGGAUGUGUUUGAGCUCUCUCUGAGGCGGCCCUGGAAGCUCUGCCGAUAAUUAGAAGCUGGUGAAGCAGCCUCGGGCCUCGUCCUGGGCUCCUGCCAAGUCCACAGAGGGUUGAGAAACUGAAGGGGGAACCUCCCCUUUCUCACUCUUGGGCAAGAGGAGUGUCCGAUGUGAACAACUGUGGACGCUGAAAGCUGUUUGACCUUGGCAGAGUCACUGAACUCUUGGAGGAGACGCAUAGGACACGCCGUGGCUUGGUUCCCCAGGUCCCCUGCCAUCAGCACAGCCCUUGGAAGAAGACUUCCGUCUCUGCAUCUACAAUGUGGGGUCACAAUGAAAGGCUCUUCUUGGGGUGGUUGUGAGCGUUAGAGGAGCUGAUGCAUGCCAGUACCUGUCCAAGAUGCUAAUAAUAAUUAGCAAUAAUUCCUCUGGGAUUCA
rnacentral:lncRNA from 1 species